rnacentral:rRNA from 1 species
UACGUAGGGGCCUAGCGUUGUCCGGAUUUAUUGGGCGUAAAGAGCUCGUAGGCGGUUCGGCAAGUCGGAUGUGAAAUCUCCAGGCUCAACUUGGAGGGGUCAUUCGAUACUGCCAUGACUAGAGUUCGGUAGGGGAGUGUGGAAUUCCUGGUGUAGCGGUGAAAUGCGCAGAUAUCAGGAGGAACACCCGUGGCGAAAGCGGCUCUCUGGGACGGUACUGACGCUGAGACGCGAAAGCGUGGGGAGCAAACAGG